CCACGGUGCUCAGCCAGGUGUGUGGUCAUGGUGCUCAGCCACAGCACUCAGACAGGGUGCUUGGACAUGGCAUAUGGACAUAAGUGCUUGGACACGGUGCUCGGUCACACAUCGUAGACGCGGUGCUUGGACUCGGUGCUCAGGCUCAAAAUGCUCGGCCACAGGUCAUGGACAUGGUGCUCGGACAUGGUGCUCAGCCACAGGUCAUGGAUGUGGGGUGGUCUUGGAUGUGGUGCUCAGGAACAGCGCUCGGCCACUCCUUGUGGACACGGUGCUCGGCCGUGGCGCUUGGCCGUGGUGCUCAGUGCGGUGCUCAGACGUGGUGCGUGGACGUGGUGCUCGGUCCCCAUGCUUGGCCACUCACGAUGGACGUGGUGCUCGGACACGGUGCUUGGACAUGGUGCUCGUUGCAGUGCUUGGCCACUCAUGAUGGACAUGAUGGUCAGACGUGGUGCUCAGACAUGGUGCUUGGACGUGUCCUUGGGCGCGCAUUGUGGACACGGUGCUCGGGCAUGGUGCUCGGAUGUGGUGCGUGGACAUGGUGCUGUGUUUGGUGCUUGGACUUGGUCAUGGACGUGGUGCUUGGGCACGGUGCUCAGACAUGGAGCAUGGACACAGUGGUUGGGCACAGAACACGGACACGGUGGUUGGGCAUGGAGCAUGGACACGGUGGUUGCCCACACUGCAUGGGCACAGAGCAUGGACACGGUGGUUGCCCACGCUGCACGGGCAUGGCACACAGCUCGGUGCUGCUUGGGCACUCCCCAUCCGGGCCCGGUCCUGGAGCUGUUCCUCUUCAGCACCAACCUUGAGCAGCCAACCUUGAGCAGCCAACCCCACCCUGCACUCCUGGUGCUCAGCACUGCGCCAGCCCCAUGUCCAUCUCUGUGUCCCUCACCAUGUCCCUCACCGUGUCCAUCACCAUGUCCCUCACCGUGUCCAUCCCGUGUCCAUCUCCGUGUCCCUCACCAUGUCCAUCACCAUGUCCAUCACUGUGUCCAUCCCCAUGUCCAUCCCGUGUCCAUCCCGUGUCCAUCCCGUGUCCAGCCCUGUCCAGGCUCCCGCAGCUCCUCGCUCUCUCCGCGCUCCUCCCGCCUCUUUCUUUUCCCCUUCCCGUUUUUUUGGGUUGAUUUUCCUUUUUUUGGGGUUUCUUGGUGCUACUCCCCCCCCGCGCCCCCAGCAGAUACCUCAGCCCCAGCCCGGGUGCAGCUUCUCCGGGAUCAGGGAUCCUUUCCCCGAUUUCUGGGAUCCUUUCCCCAAUUUCUGGGAUCCUUUCCCCAAUUUCUGGGAUCCUUUCCCCAAUUUCUGGGAUCCUUUCCCAAAUUUCCAGGAUCCUUUCCCACAUUCUUGAGAUCCUUUUUCCUGCAUUUCCGAGAUCCUUUCCCGCAUUUCCAGGAUCCUUUCCUGAAUUUCCAGAAUCCUUUUUCCCGAAUUUCUGGGGUCUGGGAUCCUUUUGGGGUUUCCUCCUCCGUUUCCCUCCUUUUCCCAUUUCCACCCGGGUUUUCCCCAUUUCUGCGCCUCCUUCAGGGAUUUCCGACCCCGCCGCGAUUUCCUCAUUUGGGUGCCGGGAGCGAGGAGGGGCUGUGGGGCCAUGGGAUCCUUCAUUUGGGAAUUAAAUGUCAUUUAUUUUAUUUUAUUUUAUUUUAUUUUAUUUUAUUUUAUUUUAUUUUAUUUUAUUUUAUUUUAUUUUAUUUUAUUUUAUUUUAUUUCAUUUCAUUUCAUUUCAUUUCAUUUUAUUUUAUUUUAUUUUACUUUAUUUUUUUGCACCGUGGCAAUUCCAAAUUAACUACCCAAGUGUGUUUCUUGUGGGAUUCGGGAAUUUGGCUGGAGGGGGGACCUUGCCAGCAUUUUUGGGAUUUUUUUUUUAUUUUUUGGAUUUUUUUUUUUUUUAAUUUAUUUUGGUAUUUUUUUGGGGCUGUUCUGGUGCUUUUUGGGAUUUAUUUGGGGAUUUUUUCAGGGUUAUUGCGGUGCUGUUUGGGAUUUAUUUUGCGAUGUUUUCUGGGUUAUUCCAGUGAUUUUUGGGAUUUAUUUUGGGUUUAUUUUGGGGCUGUUCCGGCGAUUUUUGGGGUUUAUUUUGGGAUUUAUUUUGGGGAUAUUUUUGGGGUUAUUCUGGUGCUUUUUGGGAUUUAUUUUGGGAUAUUUUUGGGGCUGUUCCGGCUCUGUUUGGGGUUUAUUUUGGGGCUGUUCCGGCUCUGUUUGGGGUUUAUUUUGGGAUUUAUUUUGGGAUAUUUUUGGGGCUGUUCCGGCGCUGUUUGGGGUUUAUUUUGGGGCUGUUCCGGCUCUGUUUGGGGUUUAUUUUGGGAUUUAUUUUGGGGAUAUUUUUGGGGUUAUUCCAGCGAUUUUUGGGAUUUAUUUUGGGAUAUUUUUGGGGCUGUUCCGGUGCUGUUUGGGGUUUAUUUUGGGAUUUAUUUUGGGGAUAUUUUUGGGGCUGUUCCGGCGCUGUUUGGGGUUUAUUUUGGGAUUUAUUUUGGGAUAUUUUUGGGGCUGUUCCGGUGCUGUUUGGGGUUUAUUUUGGGGCUGUUCCGGCUCUGUUUGGGGUUUUUCGGGGCGGUGGCAGCUGCGGGGAGGCACCGCGGGGAUCCCAAAUCCCUUUAGGAUUUCUGGCUGGGCUCGCACUGGGGUUACUUGAAAUGAAGUUUUGGGGGCGGAUCGAGGAGCGAUAGAAUUUUUCCCACGUCUCAAGGCAAUAGGAUUAAUUAAUGAAUGAAUUAAUUAACGUGUAAUUAAACUGUAGAUACUCCUAGGACGGGAAAUUGAUGCCGAUUAUUUUAUUUUGUAUCGUUUUUCCCUUUUUGUGUUGUUUUUCCCCUUUGCCCUCCUUUGCUUUCCCCCAGUGUUUCAAUAAAUUUAUUUUUUAGGAUUCCUAAAAAUGGCAAGUUCAGAUCCUUCCCCCCCGGUUUUGCUUUUGUUUUUUGGUUUUUUUUUUUUGUUCUGGUGUUGUUUAUUUUUCAUUCGUAUUUGAUUCUGAGUUGGGCUGUGUUAUUAUUCCCGAUACCUUUAAAAUAUUGUGGGUGUUUUAAUAAAUUUUAUAUUUAUUUUUUGCACUCAACACGAGGCUUGGCUGCAGUUCCUGUGGGAUUGGGGUUUUGGGCUUGGGGUUUUUGGGGUUUUGGGGGUUUUGGGGUUUUGGGGUUUUUGGGGGUUUUGGGGACUUUUUGGGGUUUUUGUUUUUUUGGGGUUUUUGGGUUUUUGGGGUUUUGGGUUUUUUUUGGGUUUGGGAUUGGGGUUUUUGGGAUUGAGGUUU
rnacentral:lncRNA from 1 species